ACGAACGCUGGCGGCGUGCUUAACACCUGCAAGUCGAACGGAAAGGCCCUGCUUUUGUGGGGUGCUCGAGUGGCGAACGGGUGAGUAACACGUGAGUAACCUGCCCUUGACUUUGGGAUAACUUCAGGAAACUGGGGCUAAUACCGGAUAGGAGCUCCUGCUGCAUGGUGGGGGUUGGAUAGUUUCGGCGGUUGGGGAUGGACUCGCGGCUUAUCAGCUUGUUGGUGGGGUAGUGGCUUACCAAGGCUUUGACGGGUAGCCGGCCUGAGAGGGUGACCGGCCACAUUGGGACUGAGAUACGGCCCAGACUCCUACGGGAGGCAGCAGUGGGGAAUAUUGCACAAUGGGCGGAAGCCUGAUGCAGCAACGCCGCGUGCGGGAUGACGGCCUUCGGGUUGUAAACCGCUUUCGCCUGUGACGAAGCGUGAGUGACGGUAAUGGGUAAAGAAGCACCGGCUAACUACGUG
rnacentral:rRNA from 1 species